GUUAAGUCUAGAUGUUUGAGGGCAUGUCUUUGUACUUCUUCUUCAAGGAAAGUGAGAGCAAUUCUACUUUUCAAUUUGGAGUCCCAUCACACAGCAAUAUGCUUUUCACAGAUAAGGCAAUGGGAAGAAAAGAAGGGAAGGUCUCUGCUGGAGCAGUGGUUAUAAGAAGCUUUUUCUGUAAAGUCCUACAGAAAACACACAGUCAGUGCAUGAUUUUGUUAUUAUUUCAGUUCUUCCCUUUAACACUCCAAAAGCAGAGAAAAAGCCUUAGUUUGAUGUUAAAAGAACAUCUUUGUUUGUCAGCCAUAAGAGGAAUUUAAUGUAUUUGUAGGAUUUAUUUAUUUAUUUAGAUUUCUGUAAUAUGAAUACAAAAUAUCUGUAUGAAAAUUGAAGUUCUGACUUACAAGACCAUAACAGAAAGAGAAUUCAUGAUCUAUUAAGGAUGUGGAUCUUCUGUUGCGAUAAGGGAUGCCCAUGCAAACACACAAUGUCAGCAAGCUUUAACACCUGUCUGGUUAUUCCACGUUCUCAUACAGAUUCUGUAGCUAUAUGGAAAAUUCAGUUUGCACAUUCGAGGCUCUGCCUCCUUGCCCUUCAGAAAGCAACCCUGUUUAUAAUGCUCUUGCUAUAUUAUAAAAAGAUUCUUACUAGAACAGUAGCAACAGAGCCACAUUUUCUAUUCACCAGCCUCUUGCAUGGUCACGGCAUUACAGGAAAAAAAGUCAUGUUUUCUUGUGAGGCUCCUACUUUUCCUGUGAUUAUGUUACUGUCUGCAUCUUCUUUAGUUAUGUUUUAGUUUUUAUGAAUCUCUGUUUUGGCAUUGUUUAUGUUUGCAAUUUGAAGGAAUGGUAGAAAAGGAAAGGUUAGUCAAUCUCUUCCCAUUAAGAGAUGUACCAGAGACUUGUCUAAAAUGCUUUGAAAAUUUAACCUAUGAUGUUGAAAUGCACUACUGUAAGUAAACCUGGCUUUAGAAAUCACCUAGACAUCUCUCUCAAAAAAAAAAAAAACAAACCUGUUUUUUGAAAGCCAUGUAAGAAAGUAACUGGAAUAAGGUCAAGUCAAUGACAUCUUGCUCUAUUAUUGCUGUGGUCAUACUCCUGUAAACCUGUAGUUGAUUAGGGGUUAAACUGUUUUUUUCCAACAACAACAGCAAUAAAGGCUACAAACUAAACUUUA